rnacentral:sRNA from 1 species
AAGCUUCGACUAAAGUUCGAUUCGAGCGCAGCGAGAAAGCGUUGCCGCAGGCAACGACCCGAAGGGUGAGGAGCGGAGCGACGAAUAAUCCUUCCCCCACCACCA